UUCUACAGCUAAUACAUCAAAACCCUGACUUGCGUUAGUUAAUUCAAAAGUGAAAUUGAACUAUUUAGCUGAUCGCACAAGAACCGGCGACAUAUCCUUCAAACAUCUGCCUUAUCAACUGUCGAUGGUAGAUUAUGCGCCUACCAUGGUUGUAACGGGUAACGGAGAAUCAGGGUUUGAUUCCGGAGAGGGAGCCUGAGAAAUGGCUACCACAUCCAAGGC
rnacentral:rRNA from 1 species